UCAUGCCUGUGGUGUUCCUUAGGGGACUUCUUUGAAAACUUUGCCAAGAAAUAUUGCCCCGGGGCUGCCCGCCACUGCCUCACCGUCUCUCCAGGCAGCCCCGGGCCCUUCCGUCUGGGGGCUGAUGAGUGGUCCCUGAUUUUAAAAUUGCAGUUUCUUCCAUCACUUCACCUUUCUAGACAUAUUACGGGAAGUCCGGAAGUGCCAGGGGAGUGGACACAUUGCUCAUUGUGAUUUUUAUUUUCUCACUAAGCUUCUGAGUUUUGAGGGAAAAAAUAUUUGAGACUAAAACUAAUGUUUAUAGACAGAUGUCAUUAAUGCUGGGUGGGAUUUGGAGGAAAUGCUGGAGAAAGAGGGCGCUAGACCAAGGGAGCCUGAGCGGUGCCCGCGCCCGGCUGGGUUUGUUCCCCCAGGAAAGCGUCUGUUUAGUGCCGCCCGCCGAGUGUGAAAGCGUUGAGCAACUCUGCAAAGCGACGACCUGGGCUGAUGAGGCAGGACUGGGAGGCUCCGUCUGCUGUACGUGAAGGCAGUG
rnacentral:lncRNA from 1 species